rnacentral:rRNA from 1 species
GUAAGUAAUGCUCACCAAGGCGUCGAACGGGUAGCGCCUGAGAGGGUGACGCACAUUGGACUGAGACACGUCCAGACUCUACGGAGCAGCAGUGGGGAAUAUGCACAUGGCGCAAGCUGAUGCAGCACGCGCGUGAGGAUGACGGCUUCGGGUGUAAACUCUUUUAGUAGGGAAGAAGCGAAAGUGACGGUACCUGCAGAAAAAGCACCGGCUAACUACGUGCCAGCAGCCGCGGUAAUACGUAGGGUGCAAGCGUUAUCCGGAAUUAUUGGGCGUAAAGAGCUCGUAGGCGGUUUGUCGCGUCUGCUGUGAAAACUAGAGGCUCAACUUCUAGCUUGCAGUGGGUACGGGCAGACUAGAGUGCGGUAGGGGAGAUUGGAAUUCCUGGUGUAGCGGUGGAAUGCGCAGAUAUCAGGAGGAACACCGAUGGCGAAGGCAGAUCUCUGGGCCGUAACUGACGCUGAGGAGCGAAAGAGUGGGGAGCAAACAGGCUUAGAUACCCUGGUAGUCCACUCCGUAAACGUUGGGAACUAGUUGUGGGGGCCUUUCUACGGUCUCCGUGACGCAGCUAACGCAUUAAGUUCCCCGCCUGGGGAGUACGGCCGCAAGGCUAAAACUCAAAGGAAUUGACGGGGACCCGCACAAGCGGCGGAGCAUGCGGAUUAAUUCGAUGCAACGCGAAGAACCUUACCAAGGCUUGACAUAUACCGGAAACGGCUGGAAACAGUCGCCCCCUUGUGGUCGGUAUACAGGUGGUGCAUGGUUGUCGUCAGCUCGUGUCGUGAGAUGUUGGGUUAAGUCCCGCAACGAGCGCAACCCUCGUUCUAUGUUGCCAGCACGUUAUGGUGGGAACUCAUGGAAUACUGCCGGGGUCAACUCGGAGGAAGGUGGGGAUGACGUCAAAUCAUCAUGCCCCUUAUGUCUUGGGCUUCACGCAUGCUACAAUGGCCGGUACAAUGGGCUGCGAUACCGUGAGGUGGAGCGAAUCCCAAAAAGCCGGUCCCAGUUCGGAUUGUAGUCUGCAACUCGACUACAUGAAGUCGGAGUCGCUAGUAAUCGCAGAUCAGCAACGCUGCGGUGAAUACGUUCCCGGGUCUUGUACACACCGCCCGUCAAGUCAUGAAAGUCGGUAACACCUGAAGCCGGUGGCCUAACCCCUUGUGGGAGGAGCUGUCGAAGUGUGGAUUACCAC